UCACUUCUGUACAUUUACAAUCAUUGGUAUGACAUCAGUCGGUAAACCGUGUGAGAACUUUAGAGACGGAUCCAUUAGUGUCUAUACUCGAGUAUAUCCUUAUUUAAGUUGGAUAGAAAGCAUUGUAUGGCCAGGACAGAAUGCAAGCGAAUAAAUUUAUCAUUUUCAUUCAC